UACAGAGGGUGCAAGCGUUAAUCGGAGUUACUGGGCGUAAAGGGCACGUAGGCGGCUAUUUAAGUCAGUUGUGAAAUCCCCGGGCUUAACCUGGGAACUGCAAUUGAUACUGAGUAGCUAGAGUCGAAGAGAGGGAAGCGGAAUUUCCGGUGUAGCGGUGAAAUGCGUAGAUAUCGGAAGGAACAUCUGUGGCGAAGGCGGCUUCCUGGCUUCAGACUGACGCUGAGACGCGAAAGCGUGGGGAGCAAACAGG
rnacentral:rRNA from 1 species